rnacentral:rRNA from 1 species
UUCCGGUUGAUCCUGCCGGAGGAGUUGCGAUUGGGAUUCGAUUUAGCCAUGCUAGUCGAGCGAGUUCAGACUCGCGGCGCAUAGCUCAGUAACACGUGGCCAAGCUCCCCUUCAGACGGCGAUACCCUCGGGAAACUGAGGCUAACAGCCGAUACACGACGCCAGCUGGAAUGCGGCGUCGGCGAAAAGCGAUGCUGAAGGAUGCGGCUGCGGCCGAUUAGGUAGACGGUGGGGUAACGGCCCACCGUGCCAGUAAUCGGUACGGGUGAUGAGAGUCAGAGCCCGGAGACGGAAUCUGAGACAAGAUUCCGGGCCCUACGGGGCGCAGCAGGCGCGAAACCUUUACACUGCACGGAAGUGCGAUAGGGGAAUCCCAAGUGCGAGGGCAUAUUAUCCCUCGCAUUUGUUGACCGUAAGGUGGUCAACGAAUAAGAGCUGGGCAAGACCGGUGCCAGCCGCCGCGGUGAUACCGGCAGCUCGAGUGAUGUCCCAUAUUAUUG